AGUUAAAUUAAAGAAAGGAAGAAUGCCAGGAACAUUUUACCAUCCACAGAUGAAUGAUACCCAGUGGAGCCGGUGAUUUACUCCUGUCCCAACAUACACCGCCGCUGACUGAUAGCUCGCCGUGGCCCUGAGAACACAUCAGAACAUCAGUCCUGGCUGUCACAGAUCCUUUUUUAAAGACAGAACAUACACCGUCACACUUUUGAUUUACAGCGAUGACACAUCUUCACGUCUUCACGCCUGAUUAAAUGUAUCCCACCUGAUGAACCUCCAGCAGAAGAGCCUUUGGUCAGACAGGAGCAAAUACACACCAGGAUCAUUCCCUCAGUGUCAUGGACAGACUAUCCUCAGGACGUCUUCUUCCACUACUUGCUUUUUUACUUCUGAUUGGUGCUCUCAACUUUCAUACACGAAGCCUUGCAAGUCCAGUCAACCAGGUUUUCCAUUCAAAGGAUGAUUCAGACGUCCAGAACCAGAUUUUGGCAUUUCUGCUACGGAAAAACAUCCUGCCUGUUCAAGAAAAGGAUGUAGUAGGACUCAAACUGGCCAGAAAAAAAACA